GGGGACUUAGCUCAAUUGGUAGAGCACCUGCUUUGCAAGCAGGGGGUUAGGGGUUCGAUUCCCCUAGUCUCCACAA
rnacentral:tRNA from 2 species